CAGAGGUGGCAAGCGUUGUUCGGAAUUACUGGGCGUAAAGGGCGCGUAGGCGGCCAUCUAAGUCAGACGUGAAAUCCCCCGGCUUAACCUGGGAACUGCGUCUGAUACUGGAAGGCUCGAGUUUGGGAGAGGGAUGCGGAAUUCCAGGUGUAGCGGUGAAAUGCGUAGAUAUCUGGAGGAACGCCGGUGGCGAAGGCGGCAUCCUGGACCAACACUGACGCUGAGGCGCGAAAGCUAGGGGAGCAAACGGGAUUAGAUACCCCGGUAGUCCUAGCCCUAAACGAUGAAUGCUUGGUGUGGCGGGUAUCGAUCCCUGCCGUGCCGGAGCUAACGCAUUAAGCAUUCCGCCUGGGGAGUACGGUCGCAAGGCUG
rnacentral:rRNA from 1 species